rnacentral:lncRNA from 1 species
UGACAGUGGAAACAAAAUAGGAUGUUGUUUGAAAAGGAUGGAGAAGUUGAGUGUUAGGAGGAUAUGGUGAGAAAGAAUGGAGAGACAAAGUGUAGAGGACUAGCCGAGGGGAAGGGAAAGGUGUCUUAUGUAAUCGUGAGGGAAAAAUCUUGAGUGGAACAUGUGAGUAUAACUUUGCUAUAUAUGGAGUGCCAUACGGGGAUCACACCUAUUCAAUUUGUUUUUUCUAACUUUCAAGACAAGCAUAAUAAACAAGUUGGUUUCUACUUCACAUUCCUUUUGCACCAGAGACCUAGAAAACAAUUGAAGGCCAAAAACAACACCGACAACUUAAAACGCUACUUUUAAUUGUGAUUAUGAAGUAAUGAACCUGUAGAUAUUAGUUUGAAGUCCAUAACAUAUAUUUGAGUAUCAUGAUCAUAAAGUUCCUAUAGUUAAAUGUUUGUGUGCAAAACUAAUUAAAAUUGUACAUAUUGUUUAAUAAACUACAAAACAUAUAUAUUGUGUUCCCAUGUGAUUCCUAGUAAGGUUAUCAUCAGAUAUACCUAUAGGAAAAGGAGAAAGUACCUCAAGAAUUUGAUUGGGCUACAAAAUUAAGGAGAUGCCACUGCUUCUUCUGGCAUUCCAUAGAGAAGAACCCAGGCAAUGCCGAAAUGGUAUGUACAAUCAUGGGAUGGGUUUUAUGUGAUGUUCAGUUGCUAGUUAUGGAACAAGGCGUCCGGAAUACAUGUUGCGUAUAACGGAGUGAAUGAACCGAUAGGCUCAUAGUAGAGUUUUCGCGUGUUCCCCUUAAAGCAACCUUGUUCCAAGCACUGAGUGUCUCCGUGUGUGGUAGUGCUUAUUUAUUUUAAUCAAGCAUUUUGUUCCAUGCUUUGAUCCUUCUGUGGUUUUUGUUUGCAGCAUUCCAUUCCAUAAUAAUAUUUUCGUGCUUGGAGAAGCAUGUUGUGUGCUCAUGUGAUACCUAGUAACAAGGAGACAUCACCGCUUCUUCAGGCUUGCCAUGGAUAAGAAUCCGAGCAAUGCCGAAACUAUAAGUACAAUCUUGGGAUGGGUUUUAUAUGAAGUUCACUUGCUAGUUGUGGAACAAGGUGUCCGGAACACAUGUUGCAUGCACGGAAUGAAACGAACUUGCAAGCUCGUAGCACAGUUUUCAUGUGAUUCCCUUUGGGCAACCAUGUUCCAACCAGUAAGUAUCUCUAUAUGUAGUAGUGGAUGUUUCUUCUAAUCAGGAACUUUCUGCCAUGGUAUUCUCGUUUUUAUUACUGGCAGUACAGUCCUGCAUAAUAUUUUCAUAUUUUGAGAAGCAUGUUUUGUCCUCGUUUAAUUCCAAGUAACAAGGAGGGCCAUCUGCUUCAUCGUACUAACCAAACACACGCUAGUUACACAUAAGAUUUAUCAACUUUAUGUAUAGGUUAGAAAUCUCUACGAACCAAGACAAUCGUUACUAAAUCAUCCUCCAUCAUCAAUAUCCUUCGCCACACACAUACCCCAAUCAAAAAUGAAUACUUUCUAAUGAAAAUUAUAAAAAUAGUAAGACCAAUGAAAAGAAUGCACGCACAGUUGUAGCGCCAACGAGAAUUCUAAAGAAUUUCUGAAGUAAAGUAGCCAGCAACUCAAAUUAUGACACCAAUCUAGCUUGCUAGACUAGCAUUGACGACAGUGGAAAAAAAAUAAGAUGUUUUUUAAAAAGAGGGAGAAGUUGGGACUUGGGAGGGUACGGUGAGAAAGAAUGGAGAGAUCAAGUUUAGUGGACUAGCCAAGGGGAAGGGGAAGGGAAAGUGUCUUAUACAAUAGUGAGGGAAAUCUUUUGAUUGGAACAUGUGAAUGACUUUGCUAUGAAGUGUCGUGUGGGGAUCACACCUAUUCACUUUGAAUUUUCCUUGCACCGAACUUUGAGUUCAGCGUAAUAAUGUGUUUUGUCAGUGUAAUGUUUUUUGUAUUUUGCAAAACAUGUUGUGUUCCAAUGCGAUUCCUAGUAAGGUUAUGCAUAUAUGCCUACAGGAAAAGGAAAAAGUAUCUCAGAAAUUUUAUUGGGCUACAGUAAUUAAGGAGAUGGUGUUGCUUCUUUAGACAUUCCAUAGAGAAGAAAUCAAGCAAUGCCGAAAUGGUAUGUACAUUGUUGGGAUGUGUUUUAUAUGAAGUUCACUUGCUAGUUAUGGAAUAAGGUGUUCGGAAUACAUGUUGUGUAUACGGAGUGAAAUGAACUGACAUGCUCUUAGUCGAGUUUUCAUGUAUCUCCCUUAAAGCAACCUUGUUCCAAGCACACAAUGUCUCAAUGUGUGGUAGUGGUUGUUUAUUUUAACCAAGCAUUUUGUUUCAUCCUCCUUCUGUUGUUUUUAUUUGCAGCAAUCCGUUCUAGCAUAAUGUUUUCGUACUUGGAGCAGCAUGUUGUGUCCUCAUGUGAUACCUAGUAACAAGGAGACAUCACCGCUUCUUCAGUCUUGCUAUGGAUAAGAACCCGAGCAAUGCCAAAAUUGUAUAUGUACAAAUUUGGAAUGGGUUUUAUGUGAAGUUCACUUGCUAGUUAGGAAUAAUGUGUCCGGAACACAUGUUACAUGCACGGAUUUAAAUGAACCUGCAGGCUCAUGGAAGAAUUUUCAUGCAAUUACAUUAGGGCAACCAUGUUCCAACCACUUAGUAUAUAUCUAUGUGUGUGGAAGUGGCUGUUUCUUCUAAUCAAGAACUGUCUUCCAUGGUCGUUCCAUUGUUUUUAGUAGCAGCAGUACAAUCCUGCAUAAUACUUUCAUAUUUUAAGAAGCAUGUUGUGUCCCCGUGUGAUUCCUAGUAACAACGAGGCCAUCCUGCUUCAUCGUACUAACCAAACACAUGCUAGUUACACUUAAGAUUUAUCAACUUUAGGAUGGAAAUCUCUACAAACCAAGGCAAUCAUUACUAAGUCAUCCUCCAUCAUCAAUCUCCUUCGCCACACACAUACCCCAAUAAAAAAUGAAUACUUUCUAAUGAAAAUUAUCAAAAUAGUAUGACCUAUGAAAAGAAUGCACACAUAGUUGUAGCACCAAC